rnacentral:rRNA from 1 species
CACGUAGGGCGCAAGCGUUGUCCGGAAUUAUUGGGCGUAAAGAGCUUGUAGGCGGUCUGUCGCGUCUGCUGUGAAAAUCCGGGGCUCAACCCCGGACUUGCAGUGGGUACGGGCAGACUAGAGUGUGGUAGGGGAGAUUGGAAUUCCUGGUGUAGCGGUGGAAUGCGCAGAUAUCAGGAGGAACACCGAUGGCGAAGGCAGAUCUCUGGGCCGUAACUGACGCUGAGGAGCGAAAGCGUGGGGAGCGAACAGG